rnacentral:rRNA from 1 species
AAAUUGAAGAGUUUGAUCAUGGCUCAGAUUGAACGCUGGCGGCAGGCCUAACACAUGCAAGUCGAGCGGUAACACAGGGAGCUUGCUCCUGGGUGACGAGCGGCGGACGGGUGAGUAAUGUCUGGGAAACUGCCUGAUGGAGGGGGAUAACUACUGGAAACGGUAGCUAAUACCGCAUAACGUCGCAAGACCAAAGAGGGGGACCUUCGGGCCUC